rnacentral:rRNA from 1 species
UGCAAGUCGAACGGUAACAGGUCUUCGGAUGCUGACGAGUGGCGAACGGGUGAGUAAUGCAUCGGAACGUGCCCAGUCGUGGGGGAUAACGCAGCGAAAGCUGUGCUAAUACCGCAUACGAUCUAUGGAUGAAAGCGGGGGACCUUAGGGCCUCGCGCGAUUGGAGCGGCCGAUGUCAGAUUAGCUAGUUGGUGGGGUAAAGGCCCACCAAGGCGACGAUCUGUAGCUGGUCUGAGAGGACGACCAGCCACACUGGGACUGAGACACGGCCCAGACUCCUACGGGAGGCAGCAGUGGGGAAUUUUGGACAAUGGGCGCAAGCCUGAUCCAGCAAUGCCGCGUGCAGGAAGAAGGCCUUCGGGUUGUAAACUGCUUUUGUACGGAACGAAAAGGCUCUGGUUAAUACCUGGGGCUCAGGACGGUACCGUAAGAAUAAGCACCGGCUAACUACGUGCCAGCAGCCGCGGUAAUACGUAGGGUGCAAGCGUUAAUCGGAAUUACUGGGCGUAAAGCGUGCGCAGGCGGUUUUGUAAGACAGGCGUGAAAUCCCCGGGCUCAACCUGGGAAUGGCGCUUGUGACUGCAAAGCUGGAGUGCGGCAGAGGGGGAUGGAAUUCCGCGUGUAGCAGUGAAAUGCGUAGAUAUGCGGAGGAACACCAAUGGCGAAGGCAAUCCCCUGGGCCUGCACUGACGCUCAUGCA